AGAGGAAGCAGUGGUGGUGGCGUCGGCGGCGGCGGCGGCGGCAGCCGGAGCGAGCAGUAGCCGAGCUGUAAUGUCUUACAAUAACAGAAUGCAGGAGAGCACAUAUCAAUGAAGAAAAGACAAAAUGUACUUAUCCAUGAAGCUGAGGUUAAGAAACCAGUGUCUUCAAGAGCCAGGGACAGCACUGGGUCUGUGCAGAGUUGAGAGAUGGUGAUGACAUGUGGUUUCCAGCAUUCUUGGCCCAGUCUGGGAUUCUACUCUUUUGUAGUGGUUUCCAGCAUUCCUCACCCAGUCCAGGGACACUGUGGGUGUGCCCAGCUUAAGUCCAGUAACUGGAAAUACAAGCCCAAGUUCUGGAGAGUUUGAGCUGCAGAGAUAUAUAUGGGAACACUUUGAAUCUUGACUCAUUGGCCAUAACCAGCAGAGUGGAAAAUACAAGAAGAGAAAAAAACAUUGAACUGCGAUUUUAUAACAUCCUUUACUAGGCAGAGAGAAGAGGAAACACCAGGAAAGAAAACUGUAUUACGAUGUGAAAACUUAAUGUUGAGAAAUUCAGGCAUCUUGGGGUUAGUGAGGAGAAGUUUUAGGGGCUUAGAUUCUUCUAAACACAUGUACAGAAAUGCAUAUUUCAUCUGAUAUCAAAUGGCAUUUAUAGUGCUAAUCUUUACCUCAAGACUUCACAUCUUUUGGUGAUUGCAUCUUUUAGGUUUAUAGCAGCUAAGUUUGCAUGAAAACACCAGGGCUGUUUCAUUUCAGUCAAGAAUUAAUGUUCAUUGAUUGUGCUUCUGCAUUUCAUGUAACUAUUGUAGAAUUUGUUUUAGUUUUAUGAGGGAAUAAUUGUUCCAACUUCUAUAUAACUCAGGAAUUUACUCUCAAACAACACUGUCAAUUAGUUACUUAUCUCUCUGGAAAUGAUCUGGGAACAUGGAGAGGAAAGGGAGGAAGGGGCAAAAUCUGACCACUUAAAUCUAAGCAUAUUAGAUCAUUUUAUGCUAGAAAGUCCUGAAUGAUGUGACUUUCGUUCUUGUAAAACACCUCUUUCCAUAGAUUCAUGGCCCAAACAGUAUAUAAAGAGUGGGGAAGGAACUGCAUUUGCAAAUAGUUCAAAUCAUUGCUCCAUCUUAACUACGCAGUUCACAAAGUGUGAAGAAAUGUGAUCAUCUCAAAAAAGAUAAUGGGGAAAAAAUAUGUUUUGUUCUGUGACUUUAAAGUCUUGCAAUAUUUUACAUAAAUGAUAAUGGGUGCUUUAAUAAGAACUCUUGAUACUUUUGUUAUUGUAUUCAAUAUAUGCAUAUAAUACAACAGGAUGAUAUUGUUUUGGAUUUGGAAAUGUAUUCUUUCUUAUGCAAUCUUAUGCAGUCAUACUGCUUGAAUAUCAUUACCUGAAUUUAUCUUUCUUUUUUUUGUUGUUGUUUUACACUCUACUUAUUUGGUGCCUGUCAGUCUUUUGUCGUCAGUUUAUAUUCUACUAAACUCAAAAAGACAAUCUCAUACCUUUUGUAAUUGUAGGCAUUCUUUACUAGAUUUUUAAAUACACUUCAAAAAUUCAAGUACUUUGAUUUCAUGCCAUCAAGUAGCUGAAUCUAUCCCCCCGUCUCUUUUUAAAUUUAAGUGAGUAGUUCAAUUUCUGUCACUUUCUACUUUGUGAAUUCUAAAUCUUUUAAAACCAUCUUGCCAUUUUUCGUGCACUUACCCUUACAGAAAACUCUGUGAAAC
rnacentral:lncRNA from 1 species